GACAGCUAUGACAGGAGAACAUGCAUUUUGCAGCUCGAAUGAAGAGGCAGAGGAGCUUUAAAAGGUUUAUGUCCUCAAUGUCACUCAUUCUCAUUUAUCUCACGUGUUCUGAUGGGGACACACCAACUUUGACUUAUUCUGGAUUUUGCCUUCAUACAAAGCCAAGAAAUAAGAAAACUUCUUAAUCACCUGAGAGAUACACCAUAAGUGGGAGAUCUACCUGGGCCUUGCUCUUCGUUCCACACGUUCCUAUCAGCAUUGGCAUUAAUGUCUGCCAGACAGAGGAAAAUAAAUGAAGUUGCUCAACUUUGCUUUGUGAGUGUUGCAUGGCUAUUUCAGCAGGGAGUGCUAGGACAUCCACAGCAGGGUCAUCAGCUAGAAUGAAUCACCCCAGCUUGACUGAAGAGCUGGCACUUCAUCUAGACCACAGAGAUGGAUCCAAAGCCAAGGAGGAAGCUUCCAUUUUUACAGGAGAUUAAGGGUGCUGACACUUUAAUGUUUUUCUGAAUUAUGCAGUAGAGACACAUCACCUAUUAGUUCUGACAAUAUAUUGCACUGUGUUAAUCUGCAUGUAUACAGAGUGUCCAGCAUUUACAAAUAGUUUGUCAUAAACAUGACAAAUUGUGAAUGAAACUCAAAUACAUGGACUAAUUCAAAAUA